rnacentral:rRNA from 1 species
UGCCAGCAGCCGCGGUAAUACGGAGAUGGCAACCGUUGUUCGGAAUCACUGGGCUUAAAGAGCACGUAGGCGGAAAGAUAAGUUGGGUGUGAAAUCCUCUGGCUUACCCAGAGAACAGCAUUCAAAACUGUUUUUCUUGAGUUCAGGAGGGGAGAGUGGAACUCCUAGUGGAGCGGUGAAAUGCGUUGAUAUUAGGAGGAACGCCGGUGGCGAAAGCGACUCUCUGGUCUGUAACUGACGCUGAGGUGCGAAAGCUAGGGGAGCAAACGGGAUUAGAUA